rnacentral:lncRNA from 1 species
UACAAUAUAUUUGCUUAUCUUCCUCCUACUUUUCAGAUAUUGGCUCUGUUGUAAAUUCAUUUCCCUCUUGCUCUUUCAGGGCAACUAAUUCUGGUCCUGCUCAGGUUUACAUCAUUUAUUGACACAUCUAAUACUUGUCCUACAGAACUUACCCCAGGUGCCACAUGGAGUGCUCCAAUAAGAGAUGAAAUGAUUUUAGGAGUCCAGUAUCUUGGAACAGAGGCCCAAAGGGACUACACCUUCAGGCAUCGCCAAGAACUGCAGGUACCAAGGUCUGGAAGAGUGGGCAAGGCUGCCCAGGGUUCUUCAAGACUUCCUUUCUGCAAUAUACAAUGUGAAUAUUAAGGUAAGUCCAAUAAUAAUCAUAUUUUGAACUUUUAUUUUGUUUCAGCUAUUCUGCAGUUCUUUAAUCCUCUCAGUAUUUCUAAAUUAAAACAAAACCCUGCAAAGUUCAUGCCUUAUUUUCUGGCAGGUGAAAGAAUUAAGGGUCAGAGGGAACUUGCUCAAGGUCACAUAGCUUGAAGGUGAUGUUGCCAGGAUUAUAGAAUCCUGUAUACAGGAUUGAUCUGUANUUAAUCCUCUCAGUAUUUCUAAAUUAAAACAAAACCCUGCAAAGUUCAUGCCUUAUUUUCUGGCAGGUGAAAGAAUUAAGGGUCAGAGGGAACUUGCUCAAGGUCACAUAGCUUGAAGGUGAUGUUGCCAGGAUUCUAUAUUUGAUCUGUAUAAUUAUGUUACUCUGAUUUUCUCUCCCAAAGGGUAGCAUGAGAGCUUGUGAAAACAACAUUAGGUGGACAAGCUGUUUCAAACAUUAAUUAAAAGCCAAGGGUUCUAAAAUUUGAAACUAAGGUUUGUAACCAGGGAGGCCAAAUGGAGGAAAAAGAAAUGGGAUAGAUGCGUAGCCAGAAGGUAGAGGC